UACGUAGGGUGCAAGCGUUGUCCGGAAUUAUUGGGCGUAAAGAGCUCGUAGGCGGUUCGUCACGUCGGCUGUGAAAACCUGAGGCUCAACCUCAGGCCUGCAGUCGAUACGGGCGGACUUGAGUACUGCAGGGGAGACUGGAAUUCCUGGUGUAGCGGUGAAAUGCGCAGAUAUCAGGAGGAACACCGGUGGCGAAGGCGGGGUCUCUGGGCAGUAACUGACGCUGGAGGAGCGAAAGCGUGGGGAGCGAACAGGA
rnacentral:rRNA from 1 species